CUAACACAUUUGACUGCCGAUGUUUCUCAGUUGUAGCUUCCAAGAGCUCUCUCUGUUUUUCCUAGCCCACUUGAUACCCUGCAGGUUGUGGCAGACAAUUCACAGGAAAAGCUUAGACAUCAGGCUUGCACGCUUCUUGACUCCAUUUUAAACCUUUUGUUCACACCAGGGUGGCAUUUUUUCACACUGCAUGUGGCAGUUUUGACUCCUAUCCAACUUGUCUUAUAAAAUCAAAGUCUGUGAUUUUUUUUUUUUGCAUUCACAGGGCUGCUUCCUGAACUGCUACUGCUGUUUGUGUCUUUCCUAGUGAUUGGUUCAGAAGUUUAUAGCAAAAUGUGUUUUAGGGAGGGGGAGGAAGAAGACAGCGAUAUGAAAAAUGUCCUGGCCUAAAACACAGGAAAUACAUUUUGAGUAAGAGGUUGACUCUGCAGAGAUUGUACAUGAAAAUCAAAUACACUUCCCACUAUUUUAAUUAUUUUUGUGCAGUACUCUGUUGAAUAUAC
rnacentral:lncRNA from 1 species